UUAAUACUUAACUCUGCUUUCUUAUUCUGCUCCUCAUAAAAUUUUGUAAACUCUAACUUUUGAUUAGCACUCUUAACUAUUUUUUCUUUUGUAUUAGUUAGUCGAGUAUGUUCUUUUUUGUCUAUACAAUGUAUUUGAUAAGCACUUUUAAUUCCAACUUUAAUUCUUUGAGCUCUGAUAAACUUUACUCUAUUUCAGGAAUUUAUAAAAUUGCAGGAUAAUUACCGAUCGGAGAAAUAGAACAAUGAGAACAGUUAGAUUCAGAGUAUGUUGGAACUUCCUUGCAUAUAAUAUAAAAUUGCAUAUAAUAACGAUAUUGUGUUUGCAGCGAAGAAUAUCAAAUAAUAUGUCAAUUUAUUUCAUAUUAUUGUUGUGAAGCGUUAAUAUGAAAAUUUUAACGCUACACAACAGGACUGUAAAUAAACGUCAAAACACGUUUAUACAACCCUUAUAACUUUAAAACAAUACUAUGGAUAAAAUCCAUCCUUACACCUUUAUUCCGUUCGAAAUACUACUUAUUUUAUUUUUCUUGUUUACAUAUUAUUUUGUUCCUGAAACCAAAGGCAGAACAGUAGCAGAGAUAUCAGCAGUGUUUAGAAACAACUACGCUUCCACUGAUGUCGAGAAACACGGUAAAAUCUCAGAGUGAUUUCAUUGGAUCCCAAUAUCUGGAUAAGUCUUUCAUAUAUUGAAUCUUUUGUAUUUUAUUUUAUUGUAAUGAAUUUA
rnacentral:lncRNA from 1 species